ACCAGACUCCUACGGGAGGCAGCAGUGGGGAAUAUUGCACAAUGGGGGAAACCCUGAUGCAGCGACGCCGCGUGAGUGAAGAAGUAUUUCGGUAUGUAAAGCUCUAUCAGCAGGGAAGAAAUAGCGACCUUUGGGUCGCCAGACGGUACCUGACUAAGAAGCCCCGGCUAACUACGUGCCAGCAGCCGCGGUAAUACGUAGGGGGCAAGCGUUAUCCGGAUUUACUGGGUGUGAAGGGAGCGUAGACGGCAGCACAAGUCUGAAGUGAAAUGCCGGGGCUUAACCCCGGAACUGCUUUGGAAACUGUUAAGCUAGAGUGCUGGAGAGGUAAGCGGAAUUCCUAGUGUAGCGGUGAAAUGCGUAGAUAUUAGGAAGAACACCAGUGGCGAAGGCGGCUUACUGGACAGUAACUGACGUUGAGGCUCGAAAGCGUGGGGAGCAAACAGGAUUAGAUACCCGUGUACA
rnacentral:rRNA from 1 species